AGCAGUAGCCACGGUAAUACAGAGGAUGCAAGCGUUAUCCGGAAUGAUUGGGCGUAAAGCGUCUGUAGGUGGCUUUUCUAGUCCGCCGUCAAAUCCCAGGGCUCAACCCUGGACGGGCGGUGGAAACUACCAAGCUGGAGUACGGUAGGGGGAGCUGGAACUUCCGGUGGAGCGGUGAAAUGCGUUGAGAUCGGAAGGAACGCCCGUGGCGAAAGCGAGCUCCUGGACGUUUUCUGACGCUGAGACGCGAAAGCCAGGGGAGCGAACGGGAUUAGAUACCCCCGUAGUCCCUGUCUCUUAUAC
rnacentral:rRNA from 1 species